rnacentral:sRNA from 1 species
CAUUACCGAGUUAGGGUUCUCUCUUCGAGGCCCGAUCUCCCAACCCUUUGUCUACCUUACCUUUUGUUGCUUCGGCGGGCCUGUCUCUGUUGAUUCAGGACUGUCGGGGGUGCUAACCCGCCCCUGGCUCGUUGCCCGUCGAUAGCCAACCAUUAAACUCUUGAUAAAUCAUGUCGUCUGAGUAUGAAAUUAAAUUAAAAGCAAAACUUUCAACAACGGAUCUCUUGGUUCUGGCAUCGAUGAAGAACGCAGCAAAAUGCGAUAAGUAAUGCGAAUUGCAGAAUUUCCGUGAGUCAUCGAAUCUUUGAACGCACAUUGCGCCCUUUGGUAUUCCGAAGGGCAUGCCUGUUCGAGCGUCAUUAUCACCCCUCAAGCUCUGGCUUGUUGUUGGACUUUAGGGGCGGGCCGCUUGGCCCUCCCUGGUCCCAAAGACAAUGACGGCGUCCGCGGGACCCUCGGUGCAAUGAGCCUUAACCAGCACGCACCAGAGUUGCAAGGUCCCCAGACCCGGUCUACCCUUUUAUUUUUCUAAGGUUGACCUCGGAUCAGGUAGGAAUACCCGCUGAACUUAAGCAUAUC